ensembl:lncRNA
GAGCGUGAGGUACCUGACAUGAAACUGUCCGCACUGUCCGUUUCUAAACUUCAAGCGUGCAAAGUGUUGCAAUAAAACCACAUUGCUCUGAUUCAGGAGGAAAAGAUUGGAAAAGCGCGCCUAAUAUAAACGACGGCGGCUCGUAAGGGACGCGCGCGCUCUAAACUGUCCCAGAACCGCAAUCAAACGAAUGUAGGGGCCGUUCACAUAUCGCGUCUUUCGUGCGCUCAAGUUCGUUAUUUCAAAAGUAGACGAGCGGCAGGCGCGUCCGAGCCGCAUCAAAAACAUUUCAACUUUUCAGAAUGCUGCAAGCGCACCGCGGGUCAAGUGACAAGAAGCAACCAAUCAGCUUCAUCCUUUCCUGUAGCAACACUGAAAGCUCAGCCAAGAUGAAGGAACAGCUUAGCUGUAUAUGGAUAGCCAUUUUAGAUAAAUUCAAUAACAGAGCUACUGCAAGCGACUUUUAGUCAAAUCCAUUUAUCCUUUGCUGAAAUUUCCGCUUCUUCAUGGAGAGCGCAGGCCAUGCUGCUUAGCAACGGGAGACGCCUUUUGGAGCGCAAUGCACUUAGCGUUUUCCACGCGUUUUUAGGCGCGACAUGUGAACGGCCCCUUAAGAGCUCUUAAAAUGCAGGGCCACAACAACAACACUGGCAGCAAUAGCAACAGGGUAAACAACAGCGACUGUGUGACAACAGAUGAAUGGACUUCAAACAGAGAGACAAACCAAUGCGGAUCAAAGAUGGGUGCGCAUGGCAACACCAGAAAACAGUGUGUGUUAUCAGCUGGUCGAACUUAUCUUCCCCUCUCCUGAAUCUCUUCCAUCAGCAGGUAGAUUAUACUCGUCACCUGCGAGCACUUCAAAGGUGUGUUUUCUCUGCUUGUGCUUUAGCAACAGUCGUCAUUGAGAAAAGCGAUAAUUGUCAGAGGUGUUGUGCAAAGAAAUGCCCUUUUCUUGACUCCUGUCAGCGCUGGAGAUCUGGAGACCACAAGCGAGCGUGUUAUCCAGCGGCGGGAUCAACACUGGGCCCCGUCACGCCGAGUCCUGUGUAGUUCAGCCAGGGGGAACUGGGAAAGGAAGAGGAAAGAGCUGGAACACUUGCGAUGAUAGUCACCUUCUCUCCCCGAUUAUCUUUGGUGAUUGAGGAAACGUGCCUCGCUGCAGUCCACACACCCAUACACUGUCAAUGGAGGGAAAAGUCUUUAGUGCUCCCUUACAAAAAGCACUCCUAUCUGUUUUCAGGAAAAAAAACAAGGGUGUUGUAGAUAUGGUAAACACAUAACACAUACUCCAUCCAAGUUUAUGUGCAACAACACUGGCUGAGGUAACCGCCUGGCCAAAGGUUUAAUUCUUUUGUAAUUCCAGGUGAGAGAGUGGACAUUAUGAACUGCGGGCAAGAGCUCUUUGCAGAAAUGAGCCCAUAAAAGAUUAAAACACGAAGAAAGUAAUCUCACAUAAAGGGGCAUACAGGAAAAUGAAACACUUUAAAUUGGUAUGCUUUAUAAUUCAUAGAAACGACAUCGGUGUGGAAUGCUUUUGCUGUGCUCAAACCUAAAACGUUUUUCAUGCUGGAAACAGUGUUGAUAAGUAUGGAUCGUGACAGAUGAUUUGCAGGUAGGCAAACCUAAUGCAACAUGGAACGCAAAUGGAGCAAAGAGCCGCUGUUUUUUUUUUUCUCUCUCUCUCUCUCUCUGAUUUUAAAUUAAGUUUCUCUCCUCUGGGACGGACCAUCAGGCUGGA